UACGUAGGGUCCGAGCGUUGUCCGGAAUUACUGGGCGUAAAGAGCUCGUAGGUGGUUUGUCGCGUUGUUCGUGAAAACUCACAGCUCAACUGUGGGCGUGCGGGCGAUACGGGCGGACUUGAGUACUGCAGGGGAGACUGGAAUUCCUGGUGUAGCGGUGGAAUGCGCAGAUAUCAGGAAGAACACCCGUGGCGAAGGCGGUUCUCUGGGACGGUACUGACGCUGAGACGCGAAAGCGUGGGGAGCGAACAGG
rnacentral:rRNA from 1 species